rnacentral:rRNA from 1 species
GGUUAAGUUAACAAGGGCGCAUGGUGAAUGCCUUGGCACUAGGAGCCGAUGAAGGACGGGACUAACACCGAUAUGCUUCGGGGAGCUGUACGUAAGCUAUGAUCCGGAGAUUUCCGAAUGGGGCAACCCAGCAGUUUUAAUCAACUGUUACCACUAGAUGAAUUCAUAGUCUAGUUGGAGGAAACGCUGUGAACUGAAACAUCUCAUUAGCAGCAGGAAUAUAAAGAAAUUUCGAUUCCCUAAGUAGCGGCGAGCGAACGGGGAACAGCCCAAACCAAAGUGCUUGCACUUUGGGGUUGUAGGACUGAACAUUUGAGUUACCAAAGAACUUGAUAGUCGAAGGAUUUGGGAAAAUCCGCCAUAGAUGGUGAUAGCCCAGUAGAUUAAAUCAAAUUCUCUCAGUUCAGGAUCCUGAGUACGGCGGAACACGUGAAAUUCCGUCGGAAUCCGGGAGGACCAUCUCCCAAGGCUAAAUACUACCUAGUGACCGAUAGUGAACCAGUACCGUGAGGGAAAGGUGAAAAGCACCCCGGGAGGGGAGUGAAAUAGUUCCUGAAACCAUGUGCCUACAAUAAGUCAGAGCGCGUUAAUGCGUGAUGGCGUGCCUUUUGUAGAAUGAACCGGCGAGUUAUGAUCCCGUGCAAGGUUAAGACUAAAAAGUCGGAGCCGUAGCGAAAGCGAGUCUGAAAUGGGCGUUUUGAGUACGAGGUUAUAGACCCGAAACCAGGUGACCUAUCCAUGUCCAGGUUGAAGGUGCGGUAAAACGCACUGGAGGACCGAACCCGUGUAAGUUGAAAAUUGCUGGGAUGAGGUGUGGAUAGCGGUGAAAUUCCAAACGAACUUGGAGAUAGCUGGUUCUCUCCGAAAUAGCUUUAGGGCUAGCCUCGGAAUUAGGAUCAUGGAGGUAGAGCACUAUUUGGACUAGGGGCCCGUCUUGGGUUACUGAAUUCAGAUAAACUCCGAAUGCCAUUGAUUCAUAUCCGGGAGUCAGACGAUGAGUGAUAAGAUCCACCGUCGAAAGGGGAACAGCCCAGACCAUCAGUUAAGGUCCCUAAAUGUAUGCUAAGUGGAAAAGGAUGUGGAGUUGCAUAGACAACUAGGAUGUUGGCUCAGAAGCAGCCACCAUUUAAAGAGUGCGUAAUAGCUCACUAGUCGAGUGAUCCUGCGCCGAAAAUGUACCGGGGCUAAGCAUACUACCGAAACCAUGGAUGCGACCAUUAGGUCGCGUGAUAGGAGAGCGUUCUAAGGGCGGUGAAGCAAGAUCGUGAGGACUUGUGGAGCGCUUAGAAGUGAGAAUGCCGGUAUGAGUAGCGAAAGAUAGGUGAGAAUCCUAUCCACCGAAUGACUAAGGUUUCCUGGGGAAGGCUCGUCCUCCCAGGGUUAGUCGGGACCUAAGUCGAGGCCGAGAGGCGUAGACGAUGGAUAACAGGUUGAGAUUCCUGUACUAGUUAAGUGCGUUUGAGCAAUGGAGGGACGCAGGAGGCUAAGAUGUGCAUUCUGUUGGAUUAGAAUGUCCAAGCAGUAAGUCUUGUGAAGAGUCAAAUGCUUUUCACUUUAAGGACAAGCUGUGAUGGGGAGCGAAAUUUAGUAGCGAAGCGUCUGAUGUCACACUGCCGAGAAAAGCUUCUAGUGAGUACUUAACUACCCGUACCGCAAACCGACACAGGUAGUCGAGGAGAGAAUCCUAAGGUGAGCGAGUGAACUCUCGUUAAGGAACUCGGCAAAAUGACCCCGUAACUUCGGGAGAAGGGGUGCUGAUCGCAAGAUCAGCCGCAGUGAAUAGGCCCAGGCGACUGUUUAUCAAAAACACAGGUCUCUGCAAAAUCGUAAGAUGACGUAUAGGGGCUGACGCCUGCCCGGUGCUGGAAGGUUAAAAGGAUGGGUUAGCUUCGGCGAAGCUCAGAAUUGAAGCCCCAGUAAACGGCGGCCGUAACUAUAACGGUCCUAAGGUAGCGAAAUUCCUUGUCGGGUAAGUUCCGACCCGCACGAAAGGCGUAACGAUCUGGGCACUGUCUCAACGAGAGACUCGGUGAAAUUAUAUUGUCCGUGAAGAUGCGGACUACCCGCGACAGGACGGAAAGACCCCAUGGAGCUUUACUGUAGCUUGAUAUUGAGUGUUUGUACAGCUUGUACAGGAUAGGUAGGAGCCAUAGAAACCGGAACGCUAGUUUCGGUGGAGGCGUUGGUGGGAUACUACCCUCGCUGUAUGACCACUCUAACCCGCACCACUAAUCGUGGUGGGAGACAGUGUCAGGUGGGCAGUUUGACUGGGGCGGUCGCCUCCUAAAAAGUAACGGAGGCGCCCAAAGGUUCCCUCAGAAUGGUUGGAAAUCAUUCGCAGAGUGUAAAGGCACAAGGGAGCUUGACUGCGAGACAGACAGGUCGAGCAGGGACGAAAGUCGGGCUUAGUGAUCCGGUGGUACCGUAUGGAAGGGCCAUCGCUCAACGGAUAAAAGCUACCCUGGGGAUAACAGGCUUAUCUCCCCCAAGAGUCCACAUCGACGGGGAGGUUUGGCACCUCGAUGUCGGCUCAUCGCAUCCUGGGGCUGUAGUCGGUCCCAAGGGUUGGGCUGUUCGCCCAUUAAAGCGGUACGCGAGCUGGGUUCAGAACGUCGUGAGACAGUUCGGUCCCUAUCCGUCGCGGGCGUAGGAAAUUUGAGAGGACCUGUCCUUAGUACGAGAGGACCGGGAUGGACAUACCUCUGGUGUACCAGUUGUGCCGCCAGGCGCAUCGCUGGGUAGCUACGUAUGGAUGUGAUAAACGCUGAAAGCAUCUAAGUGUGAAACACACCUCGAGAUGAGAUUUCCCAUUCCUUUAUGGAAGUAAGACCCCUGAAAGAUGAUCAGGUAGAUAGGUUAGAAGUGGCAGUGCGGUGACGCAUGAAGCGGACUAAUACUAAUCGGUCGAGGACUUAACCAA